rnacentral:rRNA from 1 species
UACAGAGGUCUCGAGCGUUAGUCGGAGUCACUGGGCUUAAAGCGUGUGUAGGCGGAUCGUUAAGUGCCUUGUGAAAUCCCACGGCUCAACCGUGGAACUGCUUGGCAUACUGGCGGUCUUGAGCAACCUAGGGGCGAGCGGAACAAAUGGUGGAGCGGUGAAAUGCGUAGAUAUCAUUUGGAACGCCAAUGGUGAAAACAGCUCGCUGGGGGUUUGCUGACGCUGAGACACGAAAGCCAGGGGAGCAAACGGG